rnacentral:lncRNA from 1 species
AUUAAAAUUAGUCUUCUUAUAUUUGUGAUGCAGCUUUAAUUUUUCCCAACAGGUUAAAGUGAUGAACUUCAACCCAUAUCCCAUCUGUCCACAAAAGAAGCAAAGUAUGUCAUCAAGAGAAAGAUCAAACUGACCAUGAAAGGUAAACACUGUGAAAGGACUCAGGACACUGAGGCAGAAGCAGUAAGAAUAAUUAUUUGAACACCGAAUGUGGAACUCAGAAUCACAUUCCUGGACUUCGGCACAAAAACAACAAAGGCAAAACCUACCAUGCUGGUAUCACAAGCGUACAAGCAAUUAUGUACCUCAUUCAUACUUCAAUUUUAUUCACCUGUGAUUAUGCAUCAUUAUUUUAACUAUACUUUUGAAAGGACUCUGUAACUAUGCUCACCAAACAAAACAGACAUUUAAUUAUUUUAUUAUAUUAUGUAUGGGAGAAUAUUAAGCAAAAG